GAUUGGCUCAGUGGCAGAGCGUCUGUCUAGUAAACAGAAGGUCGCUGGUUCGAUUCCAGCAUGAGGCA
rnacentral:tRNA from 1 species